AAGUCGUAACAAGGUUUCCGUAGGUGAACCUGCGGAAGGAUCAUUAACACGUAUCCACGUAUUAACACUCUGUGAACUUAAUCUCCCUGACUUGAGAAUGGCUAUUAACAUAGUUAGUGAUGGGUGUACAGCCUAAAAACUGUACGCAGCUAUGUUAGUUAUGGCUUCGAGCCAAAAGCUAUCUCUUGUUGGGCCUACACUUUCCAUCACUUUUUCACAAACCAUUUUCACUUUUAAACUCAUUUUGACUGAUAUACUUAUGUAAGAGAAAUCUGGCAUAAGCAAGUUAUCUAAACUAAGCACAACUCUUAGCAAUGGAUAUCUUGGUUCUC
rnacentral:misc_RNA from 1 species